rnacentral:rRNA from 1 species
GCGGGUGCUAACGUCCGUCGUGAAGAGGGAAACAACCCAGACCGCCAGCUAAGGUCCCAAAGUCAUGGUUAAGUGGGAAACGAUGUGGGAAGGCCCAGACAGCCAGGAUGUUGGCUUAGAAGCAGCCAUCAUUUAAAGAAAGCGUAAUAGCUCACUGGUCGAGUCGGCCUGCGCGGAAGAUGUAACGGGGCUAAACCAUGCACCGAAGCUGCGGCAGCGACGCUUAUGCGUUGUUGGGUAGGGGAGCGUUCUGUAAGCCUGUGAAGGUGUGCUGUGAGGUAUGCUGGAGGUAUCAGAAGUGCGAAUGCUGACAUAAGUAACGAUAAAGCGGGUGAAAAGCCCGCUCGCCGGAAGACCAAGGGUUCCUGUCCAACGUUAAUCGGGGCAGGGUGAGUCGACCCCUAAGGCGAGGCCGAAAGGCGUAGUCGAUGGGAAACAGGUUAAUAUUCCUGUACUUGGUGUUACUGCGAAGGGGGGACGGAGAAGGCUAUGUUGGCCGGGCGACGGUUGUCCCGGUUUAAGCGUGUAGGCUGGUUUUCCAGGCAAAUCCGGAAAAUCAAGGCCGAGGCGUGAUGACGAGGCACUACGGUGCUGAAGCAACAAAUGCCCUGCUUCCAGGAAAAGCCUCUAAGCAUCAGGUAACAUCAAAUCGUACCCCAAACCGACACAGGUGGUCAGGUAGAGAAUACCAAGGCGCUUGAGAGAACUCGGGUGAAGGAACUAGGCAAAAUGGUGCCGUAACUUCGGGAGAAGGCACGCUGAUACGUAGGUGAAGCGACUUGCUCGUGGAGCUGAAAUCAGUCGAAGAUACCAGCUGGCUGCAACUGUUUAUUAAAAACACAGCACUGUGCAAACACGAAAGUGGACGUAUACGGUGUGACGCCUGCCCGGUGCCGGAAGGUUAAUUGAUGGGGUUAGCGCAAGCGAAGCUCUUGAUCGAAGCCCCGGUAAACGGCGGCCGUAACUAUAACGGUCCUAAGGUAGCGAAAUUCCUUGUCGGGUAAGUUCCGACCUGCACGAAUGGCGUAAUGAUGGCCAGGCUGUCUCCACCCGAGACUCAGUGAAAUUGAACUCGCUGUGAAGAUGCAGUGUACCCGCGGCAAGACGGAAAGACCCCGUGAACCUUUACUAUAGCUUGACACUGAACAUUGAGCCUUGAUGUGUAGGAUAGGUGGGAGGCUUUGAAGUGUGGACGCCAGUCUGCAUGGAGCCGACCUUGAAAUACCACCCUUUAAUGUUUGAUGUUCUAACGUGGACCCGUGAUCCGGGUUGCGGACAGUGUCUGGUGGGUAGUUUGACUGGGGCGGUCUCCUCCUAAAGAGUAACGGAGGAGCACGAAGGUUGGCUAAUCCUGGUCGGACAUCAGGAGGUUAGUGCAAUGGCAUAAGCCAGCUUGACUGCGAGCGUGACGGCGCGAGCAGGUGCGAAAGCAGGUCAUAGUGAUCCGGUGGUUCUGAAUGGAAGGGCCAUCGCUCAACGGAUAAAAGGUACUCCGGGGAUAACAGGCUGAUACCGCCCAAGAGUUCAUAUCGACGGCGGUGUUUGGCACCUCGAUGUCGGCUCAUCACAUCCUGGGGCUGAAGUAGGUCCCAAGGGUAUGGCUGUUCGCCAUUUAAAGUGGUACGCGAGCUGGGUUUAGAACGUCGUGAGACAGUUCGGUCCCUAUCUGCCGUGGGCGCUGGAGAACUGAGGGGGGCUGCUCCUAGUACGAGAGGACCGGAGUGGACGCAUCACUGGUGUUCGGGUUGUCAUGCCAAUGGCACUGCCCGGUAGCUAAAUGCGGAAGAGAUAAGUGCUGAAAGCAUCUAAGCACGAAACUUGCCCCGAGAUGAGUUCUCCCUGACCCUUUAAGGGUCCUGAAGGAACGUUGAAGACGACGACGUUGAUAGGCCGGGUGUGUAAGCGCAGCGAUGCGUUGAGCUAACCGGUACUAAUGAACCGUGAGGCUUAACCUU